CCUACGGGAGGCAGCAGUGGGGAAUAUUGCACAAUGGGGGGAACCUUGAUGCAGCAACGCCGCGUGGGUGAAGAAGUACUCCGGUAUGUAAAGCCCUGUCAGCAGGGAAGAAAAUGACGGUACCUGACCAAGAAGCCCCGUCUAACUACGUGCCAGCAGCCGCGGUAAUACGUAGGGGGCAAGCGUUAUCCGGAUUUACUGGGUGUAAAGGGAGCGUAGGCGGCAAGGCAAGUCUGGAGGGAAAGCCCGUGGGCCAACCACGGGACUGCUUUGGAAACUGUGUUGCUGGAGUGCAGGAGGGGUAAGCGGAAUUCCUGGUGUAGCGGUGAAAUGCGUAGAUAUUAGGAGGAACACCGGUGGCGAAGGCAGCUUACUGGACUGUAACUGACACUGAGGCUCGAAAGUGUGGGUAUCAAACAGGAUUAGAUACCCUGGUAGUC
rnacentral:rRNA from 1 species